GACGACCCCGAUACGCAUACCCCCACUGUAGAUGAAGUAAAAGCAUUUCUCGCCCGCAUCAAACUGCCCCAACUAUCGAGUAGCCAAAUCGAAACCCUAACAUGCCCCCUCACCGUGAAAGAGAUAUUAGACACUAUCAAAGAGUUACCGAAUGGCAAGUCCCCCGGAGCGGAUGGGCUCUCAAACCUCUAUUACAAAAAGUAUGCCCAAACAUUGGC